AGUGAACGCUGGCGGUAGGCCUAACACAUGCAAGUCGAACGGCAGCACAGUAAGAGCUUGCUCUUACGGGUGGCGAGUGGCGGACGGGUGAGGAAUACAUCGGAAUCUACUUUUUCGUGGGGGAUAACGUAGGGAAACUUACGCUAAUACCGCAUACGACCUACGGGUGAAAGCAGGGGAUCUUCGGACCUUGCGCGAUUGAAUGAGCCGAUGUCGGAUUAGCUAGUUGGCGGGGUAAAGGCCCACCAAGGCGACGAUCCGUAGCUGGUCUGAGAGGAUGAUCAGCCACGCUGGAACGGAGAAACGGUCCAGACUCCUACGGGAGGCAGCAGUGGGGAAUAUUGGACAAUGGGCGCAAGCCUGAUCCAGCCAUACCGCGUGGGUGAAGAAGGCCUUCGGGUUGUAAAGCCCUUUUGUUGGGAAAGAAAAGCAGCAGGUUAAUACCCCGCUGUUCUGACGGUACCCAAAGAAUAGGCACCGGCUAACUUCGUG
rnacentral:rRNA from 1 species